AAAUGCACAAUCAAAAAAUGCAAAAAGAAAGCAGCAGAAAACAUACAGCUGGAUGAAGGGAGCUACAUUGAAGAUUUGGCUGAAGAUUCCACAUACAAAUAUUUUGGAAUCGAAGAAAAUGAGAGAGAGAGAAACACAAGAAUACCUAAACCAUUUU